UUUUGUUUCUUUGUGCUUUUUAGGGCCUCAGCUGCAGCAUAUGGACAGUCACAGGCCAGGGGUGGAAUCUGAGCUGUAGCUGCUGGCCUAGACCACAGCCACAGCAAUGUGGGAUCUGAGCCGCAUCUGGGACCCACACCACAGCUCAUGGCAAUGCCGGAUCCUUAACCCAUUGAGAGAGGCCAGGGAUGGAACCCGGGUCCUCAUGGAUACUAAUCAGAUUUGUUAACCGCUGAGCCGCUACAGGAAACUCCUAUAUAAUCAUUUAAAAUAAUAUAAACUAGGGCGCAUUUUAUGAUAAGUAAAUUAUACUUCGGCAAAGCCAUUAAAAAUAAUAACAUGAAAGUGAUAGCUGGUCAUUAUCUUUAAAGAGGAUGGGGAAAUACCAAAAAGUAUCCCACUACUUAGAGAUAACCACUAUUAACAUGGUAGUGUAUUUCCUGCCAGAUACAGAUAUAUAGAUACAUACGCCAAAUACACACAUACACGCACGCACACACACACAAUCCUCAAAAUUGGAAUCAUAUGUGUGUACCAUUCUGUAUCUUUCAUUUUCCAUUUCAUAUUAUUAUUAACAUUUUUAUAUACCACUAAAAAUCUAUGAAAAAUUAUUUCCAUGGCAAUGUUGCAUUCCAUUACAUGGAGGGGACAGAGUAAUUUAGCCAUCCCCUAACCAUCAGAUAACUCUGUUUUUCCCCACUGUGAUCUUGAUUUAAGUCUUUGGUGGCACCUCUGAUGACAGCCAGAGGAGAGAUGCUCAGAUGUACUAUGCUCAAUCAAAGAUGUGAAUGGUUUUAAGGCUCUUGGUACAUAUUGAAAAUUGUUUUCCAGAAAUGAUAUACCAAUUUAAAUUUUCCCAAGUGUAUCGUCGUGUAGUUCACCUCACUAAGUAUUAUUGUGUUUUCUACAUAUUUGCUAAUUUGCUGGUUGAGCAAUGCCAUUUUAAAUUUGUUUCCUCUGGUAUCUGGGGAAGAUGAACCUGUUUCAUAGGAUUAGUAACCAUAUUUCAUUUUAUGUGAAUUGUCUACGCAUACCCUGUGUCUGAAUUUCUAUAUACAUGUUAGCAUUUUUCUUAUUAGUUUACCACAAAGCAUGGUAAUAACCAUUUAUUGGUAGUACUUGUUGCAAGUAUUUUUCUCACUUUGCUAUUUGCCUUUCUGACUUUGAGUUUUUAAUACACUAAGGAUUUUAAUUUUUUCAAUGGAGUUGUAUUUCUUACUGUUUAAAAUGUCCCCAUCCAGGAGUUCCCACUGUGUCUCAGUAGUUAAUGAAUCUGACUAGGAACCAUGAGGUUGCAGGUUUGAUCCCUGGCCUCCCUCAGUGGGUUAACGAUCCAGCGUUGCCAUGAGCUGUGGUGUAGGUUGCAGACGUGGCUCGGAUCCUGUGUUGCUGUGGCUGUGGUGUAGGCCGGCAGCUACAGCUCCAAUUAGACCCCUAGCCUGGGAACCUCCAUAUGCCACGGGUAUGGCCCUGAAAAACAACAACAACAACAAAAAACAUAAACAAAACAAAACAAAAUAAAAUUUUGUUAAUAGCAUCAUACCAAUUUCAAUUCCUUGGUUUUGAAAAUGUGCUGUGGUAAAUGUGAGAGGCUAUGAUUAAAGAAAACUAGGUGUUGAAUUCUGUACUAUUUGGCAACUUUAUGUGAGUCUUAAAUUAUUUCUUAAAAUACAAAGUUUAAAAUGUUUUUUAAAAAGUUGAAAAAGGAGUUCCCGUCAUGGCGCAGUGGUUAACGAAUCCGACUAGGAACCAUGAGGUUGCGGGUUCGGUCCCUGGCCUUGCUCAGUGGGUUAACGAUCGGCGUUGCCGUGAGCUGUGGUGUAGGUUGCAGACACGGCUCGGAUCCCGAGUUGCUGUGGCUCUGGCGUAGGCCGGUGGCUACAGCUCCAAUUCGACCCCUAGCGUGGGAACCUCCAUAUGCCGCGGAAGCGGCCCAAGAAAUAGCAAAAAAAAAACAAAAAAAAAAAGUUGAAAAAUGUUGGCAUUGCCAUUGUGGCUCAGUGGUAAAGAACCCAACUAGUAUCCAUGAGGAUGUGGGUUCAAUCCCUGGCCCCGCUCCGUGGAUUAAGGAUCCAGCACUGCCGUGAGCUGUGGUGUACCUCACAAACAUGGCUUGGAUCCAGCAUUGCUCUGGCUGUGGCAUAGGCCAGCAGCUGCAGCUCCAAUUCAGUUCAUAGCCUGGGAACUUCCAUAUGCCACACGUGUGGCCCUAAAAAGGAAAAAAGUUUAAAAAUGUUAACUUAGGUUUUUUUUAAGUUUUGUGGCGUUAUGUUUUAACUCUUUCUCCAUCAGAAAUUGAUUUUGUAUAAAGUAAGAGGUGAGAUUCUGACUUAAUUCUUUUCCAGAUGGCUGGCCAACUGUCUUAGCCUUGCAGUUAAAUCAGUUUUCCUUUACCUGGUGAUUGGGCUGCCGUUUUUAUUAUACCCUGAAGCCUGUAAAUGGUAAGGACUGUUUCCAGGCUCUUUCUGUCCUUCUGAUCCAUUGCCAUUCCUUAUAUCCUUACCAUCCUGUUUUGAUUACUAAAACUUCAGAGUAUGUUUUAAAAUGUGACAUUUCAGGUAUUCUUUUUCCUUCACACAUCAAAUUAACCCUUUUUUUAAACUCACAUUUUCAACAAUUUUUGCCUUUUUAUUCUUCCAGAUGGAACAAACAAUGAUACAGAUAUCUCAGAGAUUUUUAUUGGAGUCUCAUUAAAUUUGCAAAUUCAGUUGAGAAAAGUUGACAACUUCCCAACAUCCAGUUUUCCCACCCAAGAUCACAGUAGGCAUGAAGCUCCAUUUAUUUAUCUUUUUAAGUUUCUCAGUAAAGAUAUAAAGAUGUGUGCUUGUCUUCUUACUGCUUUUUACAUUUCUUGGUCAAGUUAGCUAUUCAUCUGUUGUGACCGAGAUUUUCUAAAAUUAUGUUUUCCAACUGGUUGUACUGGUAUGUAAGUGGUACAGAUGUAAUGGUACAGAUCUAUAGGAUAGUGACUGCCCUUUAUAUCCAAUAAUAUUGCUGGAUUCUCUUAUUUAUUAUUAUGUCUUUUUUUUUUUUUUUUUUUUUUUAGGGCUGCACCUGUGGCAUACAGAGGUUCCCAAGCUAGGGGUUGAAUCAGAGCUAUAGCUGCCCACCUAUGCCUACACCACAGCAAUGCGGGAUCAUAGCUGCAUCUUCGACCUACACUACAGCUCACAGUAAUGCCGAAUCCUUAACCCACUGAGCGAGGCCAGGGAUCGAAUCUGCAUCCUCAUGGAUGCUAGUCAGAUUUGCUUCGGUUGAGCCACAAUGGGAACUCCUAUCUUGUAGUUUUUCAGUUAAUUCUCUUGAUUUUCAAGGUGGACCAACAGGUCUUCUUUAGAGCAGCAUAAUUUUGUCUCCUUUCCAAGAGCAAUAACAGUCUAUGUUUAUCUUCCAAAUGAGCUAUGAGGAUCAUUUGGUGGAUAAACAUAAACAAAUUACUUAUCAUCUAUGAACUUCAAUUCCCUUAUAAGGGAAAAGUAGAUAUAAUGCUAAUAUAUAGAAUACUAUAUACCUUGUUAAGGUGCUAUGAGUAUUCGACAAAAUAAGAUAUUUAAUAUCAACUCUAAUUUCAGAGUUCUUAAGAAGUGGUAGGUAAUCUUUUUUCCUAAGUCACCGCCUUGCUUAACAUGUUGCUGCAAUGGCUAAAACUUUCAGAUCAAUGUCGAAUCAUAGUAUCGAGUUUUGGUUUGAGUCUUCAUUGAGUUCCUAAUUUGAGUUAGAGGAUUUCUAGGGUUUUACCCAAAGAACCUGUUCAUCAGGCAAUGGUGCCUCUAGGGCUAUUACAUAAACACAGCAUGAAAAUCACAGACUCAAAAUCAUUAAUUAGUAAAAAAAUUAACAUAAAAUAAAAUUUCACUUCAUUAAGAAUUUUAUGUACAAAUUGUAAUAUCUGUGCAUUGAACCUCGUAUCAACCAAU
rnacentral:lncRNA from 1 species